rnacentral:rRNA from 1 species
AUUGAACGCUGGCGGCAUGCUUUACACAUGCAAGUCGAACGGUAACAGCACUUCGGUGGCUGACGAGUGGCGAACGGGGGAGUAAUACAUCCGAACGUGCCACGUAGUGGGGGAUAACUACUCGAAAGAGUAACUAAUACCUCAUGCGAUCUAAGGUUGAAAGCAGGGGACCUUCGGACCUUGCGCUACUAUUGCGGCUGAUGGCAGAUUAGGUAGUUGGUGGGAUAAAAGCUUACCAAGCCGACGAUCUGUAGCUGGUCUGAGAGGACGACCAGCCACACUGGAACUGAGACACGGCCCAGACUCCUACGGGAGGCAGCAGUGGGGAAUUUUGGACAAUGGGCGCAAGCCUGAUCCAGCAAUGCCGCGUGCAGGAUGAAGGCCUUCGGGUUGUAAACUGCUUUUGUACGGAACGAAAAGCCCUCUUCUAAUACAGGAGGGUCAUGACGGUACCGUAAGAAUAAGCACCGGCUAACUACGUG